AGAACGAACGCUGGCGGCAUGCCUAAUACAUGCAAGUCGAACGAAGGCUUCGGCCUUAGUGGCGCACGGGUGCGUAACGCGUGGGAAUCUGCCCCUUGGUUCGGAAUAACAGUUGGAAACGACUGCUAAUACCGGAUGAUGACGAAAGUCCAAAGAUUUAUCGCCAAGGGAUGAGCCCGCGUAGGAUUAGCUAGUUGGUGAGGUAAAGGCUCACCAAGGCGACGAUCCUUAGCUGGUCUGAGAGGAUGAUCAGCCACACUGGGACUGAGACACGGCCCAGACUCCUACGGGAGGCAGCAGUAGGGAAUAUGGACAAUGGGCGAAAGCCUGAUCCAGCAAUGCCGCGUGAGUGAUGAAGGCCUUAGGUUGUAAAGCUCUUUACCCGAGAUGAUAAUGACAGUAUCGGAGAAUAAGCCCCGGCUAACUCCGUGCCAGCAGCCGAC
rnacentral:rRNA from 1 species